rnacentral:rRNA from 1 species
AGUGAACGCUGGCGGCAGGCCUAAUACAUGCAAGUCGAACGGCAGCACAGCAGAGCUUGCUCUGUGGGUGGCGAGUGGCGGACGGGUGAGGAAUACAUGGGAAUCUGCCCAGUCGUGGGGGAUAACGUAGGGAAACUUACGCUAAUACCGCAUGCGCCCUUCGGGGGAAAGCCGGGGACCUUCGGGCCUGGCGCGAUUGGAUGAGCCCAUGUCGGAUUAGCUAGUUGGCGGGGUAAAGGCCCACCAAGGCGACGAUCCGUAGCUGGUCUGAGAGGAUGAUCAGCCACACUGGAACUGAGACACGGUCCAGACUCCUACGGGAGGCAGCAGUAGGGAAUAUUGGACAAUGGGCGCAAGCCUGAUCCAGCCAUGCCGCGUGAGUGAAGAAGGCCCUCGGGUUGUAAAGCACUUUUGGCGGGAGCGAAACGGUCUGGGUUAAUACCCUGGGCUAAUGACGGUACCGCAGAAUAAGCACCGGCUAACUACGUGCCAG